rnacentral:rRNA from 1 species
CUGGAGACUCCUACGGGAGGCAGCAGUGAGGAAUAUUGGUCAAUGGGCGAGAGCCUGAACCAGCCAAGUCGCGUGAAGGAUGACUGUCUUAUGGAUUGUAAACUUCUUUUAUACGGGAAUAACAAGAGUCACGUGUGGCUCCCUGCAUGUACCGUAUGAAUAAGCAUCGGCUAACUCCGUGCCAGCAGCCGCGGUGAUGCGGGUGAUGCGAGCGUUAUCCGGAUUUAUUGGGUUUAAAGGGUGCGUAGGCGACCUGUUAAGUCAGCGUUGAAAUCUAGGAGCUUAACUCCUAAAUUGCCAUGGAUACUGGCGGGCUUGAGUGUAGAUGAGGUAGGCGGAAUGCGUGGUGUAGCGGUGGAAUGCAUAGAUAUCACGCAGAACUCCGAUUGCGAAGGCAGCUUACUAAGGUACAACUGACGCUGAAGCACGAAAGCGUGGGUAUCAAACAGGAUUAGAAACCCCGGUAGUCCGA